AUUCUUUACCUUGAGUUGGAAUGAGCUUAAUUUUAUGCGAUGAAAAGGUUCAAGUUUGGGUUUGUUGGGAAAAAAAAUUGAAAGGCUAGUGAAAAGCAUUGAGCUCAAAUGUUGUGAAAAGAAAAAUUCAUGAGAAAAAAGAAAACAAAAUAAGAAAGGCAUGAAGAGGAGCUCAAUGAAAAAGAAAAGGGAAGAAGUUGGGAAUAAGUGAGAUUGGUGAGAAAGAGAGUUGUGAUUAAUUGUUAAAUAUUAUGAAAGCUCUCUUAACUCAAGGAUUUUGUUUUCCAGAAAAAC
rnacentral:lncRNA from 1 species